rnacentral:tRNA from 3 species
GCGGGGCUGGUGUAGUGGUUAUCACGUGUCGUUCACACCGACAAGGUCGCGAGUUCGAUCCUCGCGCCCCGUA